GAUGAACGCUGACAGAAUGCUUAACACAUGCAAGUCAACUUGAAUUUGGGUUUUUACCUUAGGUUUGGGUGGCGGACGGGUGAGUAACGCGUAAAGAACUUGCCUCACAGCUAGGGACAACAUUUGGAAACGAAUGCUAAUACCUAAUAUUAUGAUAAUAGGGCAUCCUAUAAUUAUGAAAGCUAUAAGCGCUGUGAGAGAGCUUUGCGUCCCAUUAGCUAGUUGGAGAGGUAACGGCUCACCAAGGCGAUGAUGGGUAGCCGGUCUGAGAGGGUGAUCGGCCACAAGGGGACUGAGACACGGCCCUUACUCCUACGGGAGGCAGCAGUGGGGAAUAUUGGACAAUGGACCGAGAGUCUGAUCCAGCAAUUCUGUGUGCACGAUGAAGUUUUUCGGAAUGUAAAGUGCUUUCAGUUGGGAAGAAACAAAUGACGUUACCAACAGAAGAAGUGACGGCUAAAUACGUG
rnacentral:rRNA from 1 species